rnacentral:tRNA from 1 species
GGAAGUAUGAUGAAAUUAGGUAUACAUUUCGGUUUUAAAAACCGGGGUUCGUUAGAGCGUGUGGGUUCGAAUCCCACUACUUCUA